rnacentral:rRNA from 1 species
UACGUAGGGUGCGAGCGUUAAUCGGAAUUACUGGGCGUAAAGCGUGCGCAGGCGGUUUUGUAAGUCAGAUGUGAAAGCCCCGGGCUCAACCUGGGAACUGCGUUUGAAACUACAAGGCUAGAGUAUGGCAGAGGGGGGUAGAAUUCCACGUGUAGCAGUGAAAUGCGUAGAGAUGUGGAGGAACACCGAUGGCGAAGGCAGCCCCCCUGGGCUAACACUGACGCUCAGGCACGAAAGCGUGGGGAGCAAACAGG